GGAGCGUACAGGUAGGCGGGACGAAAGGCACGCAGAGGAACGCGGGAGUUUACAGCCGUAAAAGAAGAACAGAACCGACCUGCAGGGCAGAGUGAGAACAGAGCCAGCCAGUGGGAAGAGGGCUCUCCAGAGCUUGGCACGGCGCUCACAGCAGAUUGGCAACCUGAAGGCGGGCGUGAGUCAGCAUCCCUCAGUAGCAGGGAGUGAGUGGGAGCGGGGAAGGAGCCAUACAGAUUCCAGACGCACCUCAGAUCCUGGUCGGUGUGCUUAGAAUUCAUCCCAAUUAUGUUUACAUGUCAUUCAUUCA